CACACAAAAUGGAAUAAACGAGUUCCCUUUCAUUUUUUUCUUUUGUUUUUAGUAAAAAGUUCGAUCCCUCUCCAAAAAUAGGUUCGACUUGAGGCUGGAGCCGCGGAAAAAUAAUAAUUCUAGUGAGAAAAAAUUUUAAUAUGUUUUUCAGAACUCGUUGAGGUUUACGGCUCCUAAACAUCUCGCUUGUAUCGAUCCCGACUGUUUGUUUUCAAUCUUCACCUUUUUUUUCUGAAUCAAUAUCUCAAUUAUCUUUUUCUUAUUUUGUUUGCUUCUUUCUGUUUGUAAUUUACAUCAAAUAAUAGCUGUUUUUUAUUCUCAGAUUCCCUCCAUAAAAGGGCCUUCUAGAUACGGAUUUGUUUCACUCAGGACUCACUGAUUUGCCAGAUCCAAGUUCGCCCAAUCUCUAUUCUGGGUACACUAAAAAGUGAACCUCAAAUUCAAUUUUAGCAUUGAAUUUUCAUUCUUCAAAAACUGGGUUUUCCUUUAACUUCGAUAAACUCCGGCUGGGCAACCGAUGGUUUUGCUCUGGUCCUCUUAAUUUCAUGAGAAUUAGGGUUUCGAAGAAAAUCAUUCAAGGGAACUAGCUUUUUUGGGAUCUGACGCUUGGGUAUAAGGAAAAUUUAGUAUCCUUUUGAGGAAUUGGUUUGGAAAUUGUUUUUGGGGUUUUGCUAAUCUGGGGGUAUUGCAAUUGUAGUCAUGUUCUAUGGUGCUGUGGUAUGGGAUCCUUGGCUUAUUGUAGCCCAAAUUGUUUGCCUUCAAUGUUUAUUCUACCUUACACUUGGAGUCUUCUUGUCAUUUCUUGUUGGAUCUCGCGUUUCUCGUAUGAGUUUGGUCUAUUUCUUUGACUUUGCUACUGUUACUACCUCUACCGUUACCGGCUGGUGUGUCAUUGCUUCGUUUCUGCUCAGCUCUAUUGCAGGAGCUGGGUACCUGCUUUAUUUGAUUGAAAGGGCAAAGAAGUGCUUAGAUUUUUCAGCCACCCUCUAUAUUAUCCAUCUCUUUAUAUGCCUCAUAUAUGGAGGUUGGCCUUCCUCAAUAACAUGGUGGGUUGUGAAUGGUACUGGAGUUGCACUGAUGGCUUUGCUAGGUGAAUAUCUAUGCAUUAGACGGGAACUGAGAGAGAUUCCGAUAACACGAUAUCGAUCAAAUGUUUGACUGACAAAGAAUCAGGUGUGAAGAAAUUUCCUGUGGGAAUUAAAUUCUUUGUUUUCCACUGCUUUGGAGGAGCUGAAAGAUAUAAUUCUUUAGAUACCAAAUCUAAUCGGCAAUGAAAAAGAACUAGCUUAAGUUAUGGAAUCUAUUUUUACUUCUACUGGAGAUAAUAGAGAAGUGUUUCUGAAUAUGAUAGAGAGCAACAGUAAAACUUUGUGAUAGCGAUGCUUAAGUGAUAUGAAGCUGGAGCACAUAACGCCAGGGUUUACCAACACAAGCUACAUUGAAAGAAAACCGUAUCAGCAAAGGGUUAACCUCAAGGUUCAAAAAGAAUGUGCAGUCAUGGUGACAAUCAUUACCUGGAGUGAUCUUUUCUCUACCAUUUUUCUCAGUUCGCAUACCAUGUCGAUGCCACUUGUAUCUAUGGCUGUGACAGCUGAGAAUAUUGCAAGACUGUUAGCCAAAUACAGUAGGAAAUUCCUUUUCUGGAUGGAUGAUCAAAGAGUUUUUGGAGUAAAUUACCAGCCAUGUCAAUAAUUAUACAUUUCAAAGUGCUUUCCUGGUUUGACUUAAUCCAUUCUUCCUCCUCUCGAAUCCAUCUUAAUAUCCUUUAACAAAGAAAUUCUCAGUCUGUCAACCACUGCUCAAGAAGAUGGUCUGCUAUAAUCUGCUAUACUAAUAAAACCAUUCAGCCUAACUUAUUUUAUGGAAAUCUAUUGGAUUGUUUAUUGACCUAUCGUUGAUAAGAUGAAGAGGCGGAGUUAAUUUUUUGGUACAUAAAAGUUUAGGGUGAGGGAAUGCUUCCUUAUUCCAUGGUCACCGUAAGUCUCCGGAGGAUGUCUCCGAAGGAUUUAUAUUGGAUUUAUACAUCGUUUACUAAAAGGGACGGGACUGUUGGGAGAGGGAUUUGAUCCUAAACUUUACAAGCGAAGUAACGGAAUU